rnacentral:tRNA from 1 species
CGAAAUCGGUAGACGCUACGGACUUGAUCGAACUGAAAUCCGUUGGCUUCAUAGACCGUGAGGGUUCAAGUCCCUCUAUCCCCA